ACUAUUCAAUAAAAACAUUUGACAUUCCCUCUUCACAGUUCAUAAACCUGCUAUUUUGCUUCUAAUUCUGCCUAAUCCGACAUUUAGUGCUUAAGCAAGUUAUUCUUAAUACCUAUUAGCUUACUCUGAUAAAUGAUUAGUUACUACUAUCAUUAACAUAUAGAUGGAACAAGAACAACUCGAUGAUCUGGUUAACGAGAAUACGGUUCUCUUCAUCGAUGAUUUCAGAAGAUUGUUCGGAUAGCUGACUCUGACAUUAUCUCUAUUGGCGGUCCAGGAGCAGAAGUAUUGACUUACUGUGCAAAAACUUUUCACAAAUUCGGAAACAUUUUAAGUUUGUAGAGCUCUUUAUAAUCUGCAGUGUUCACAUCAUCAAGAAAUUCAAUUACUUUCCUUUGGAGGAGAAUCCAAAACUUAAAAAAGUUCUUGAUGAUUAUAUUAAUUGACAAGCACAUUAGUAUAAUAUCUACAUGUUUAAGUCAGCGUUCUAAAUAUAUGAUAUAUUUUUUUGAGUGUUCUAAAUAUAGUCGGAUUUCGUGAAAGUGAAGUGAGUGCAAAUCCUAGUGAAAGCAGAAGUUACGUCAAUAUCUUAAUUAUGUGUAAAAGGUUGUUGCUUAUAAAGUUUUACUCGUUGUCAUUUGAAGUUGAUCUUCCCGCGCAAGUUACUAAUGAACAGAUGGACAUGAUAUUAUUUUGCAAAAGUUCGUUUGUAAAUCACUAAAUCACGAGGCUAGUCUUAUUUUUGGAGAAGCUUCGAGUCUGGCAAUGAUGAAAACACAAUUCAGACAAUCUUUGGCAGCACUGGAAGUCGUGGUGAAAUUGUCGGCUUUGGUGCUGAACAGGUGAUCUUAGUCCGUGAUCAUCAUGCAAAAACUGAGAUUUGUGAAUAUUCGGCGAGGCAAGCUCUUGUUCUCACUAUCUCGGGUCUUGAGUUUCAGGUACAUGAUUGGAUCGAUGUAAUUCUUUCCCGAGCUUCAAUGAAGCAAGAGAUGAUUCUGAACUGAAGCAACUAUAUGCGGCUAUAACUCAAACGAGGCAACGGCUAUGGUCAUGUGAGAACAAAGAGGAACUCUCCAAGCCAAUGUAUGAUUACUGGAAAAGGAAGGGGACUCGUUCAGAUAAGAAAGUUGGACAAUUCAGUGGCUCGGCCUGUGCCCUCAGGAGUACAGGGAAGUGGUAAUGUUAAUCGUAUAAUUACAGGUAUAGUUUCUUAUUGUUUGUUAUUGCUUUGGAAUUUCAUGCCCUUCAUAUGGAUUUCAGCUUUUAUAUGAGAACAAUGUUGUGAAAGUAACAAUGUGUUUUGAAAGAGAUGAAGACACAAUGUGGGUAAAAUUGGCCAAGGCUCCAGUAAUUAGAUGCGAGGAACUAAUCCCGCAGCCGAAAUGUUUGGAGUCUAUUGGGAAACAUAUAUGAGCCUGAUGCUUCAUGUUAUUGUGAUUUGGUGAGGAGUAUGAAAAGGCCAAUAACUGUUAAUCAACAUUUGGUUACAAGAUUUGUAUCAUUUGAACACUUUUUGUUAAUGCAGGAAAAAUUUAUUUAGAUAAAAGUGAACAGAUUGAUGCAGUAGCAGCAAACAAUGUCUUGGUAUUAAAUUUGUAUCAGUCUGAAAUGAGUAUUCAAACUUUAAACUUUCUUCCAUGUAAUCAUUUUAUAAUUGGUCCGAAAUGUCAACCUGUCCAAUUACGUGUGAAUAGAUAAU